rnacentral:rRNA from 1 species
UACGAAGGUCCCGAGCGUUGUUCGGAAUCACUGGGCGUAAAGGGAGCGUAGGCGGCGCGGUAAGUCAGAUGUGAAAUCCCGGGGCUCAACUCCGGAACUGCAUCCGAUACUGCCGUGCUAGAGGAUUGGAGAGGUAGCUGGAAUUCUUGGUGUAGCAGUGAAAUGCGUAGAGAUCAAGAGGAACACUCGUGGCGAAGGCAGGCUACUGGACAAUAUCUGACGCUGAGGCUCGAAAGCGAGGGUAGCAAAAGGG